AGGCUAUCACUGGCUCGGCCAGCAUUUAUUGCUGCGUUUACCCAGUGGGCAGUUAAGAAUCAACCACGUUGCUAUAGGUCUGGAGUCCCAUGCAGACCAGACCAGGGAUCUGCACUGGAACCCUUCUGUUUGCGGGACAAAUAUAUAUAAGUGACAUGGAUUAAAAUCUAAUUUGGUCAACACAUCCAUGAACCAAGCAAUGAUUCCUCAUCCAACACUCACAGGAAAUAUCUGAUGCCUUCUCAUUUGAAUGUUCACA